GUCUAUACGAAAAAUAAUUUACAGUCUGACCUGCCCAGUGAAUAAUUUAAAUGGCCGCGGUAUUCUGACCGUGCAAAGGUAGCAUAAUAAUUAGUUUUUUAAUUGAAAGCUUGAAUGAAUGGUUGGACAAAGAAAAAUCUGUUUCUACUUUUUUUUUAGAAUUUUACUUUUAGGUGAAAAGGCCUAAAUAAAUUUAAUAGACGAUAAGACCCUAUAAAUCUUUAUACAUUCUUUUUUUAUAAGUAAUUAUAAAGUUUACUUUUUAUAAAAAAAAGAUAUAUUUUGUUGGGGCGACAAGAAUACUAAAACUGUUCUAAUUUUAAACAAUAAUUUUUGAAAAUAGUAGAUCCUUUAUUAAAGAUUAAAAAAUUAAGUUACUUUAGGGAUAACAGCGUAAUUUUUUUUGAGAGUUCAUAUCGACAAAAAAGUUUGCGACCUCGAUGUUGAAUUAAAGUCUCUCUAUAAUGCAGCAGUUAUAAGAGUAAGUCUGUUCGACUUUUAAAACUUU
rnacentral:rRNA from 1 species